UACGUAGGGGCUAGCGUUAUCCGGAAUUACUGGGCGUAAAGGGCGCGCAGGCUGUUAUGCGAGUCUGCUGUGAAAUGUACCGGCUCAACCGGUGCCUUGCGGCGGAUACUGCAUAGCUGGAGUACUGGAGAGGGAAGUGGAAUUCCCGGUGUAGUGGUGAAAUGCGUAGAGAUCGGGAGGAACACCUGUGGCGAAGGCGGCCAGCUGGGAUACACCUGACGCUGAGAUGCGAAGGCGUGGGGAGCGAACGGGAUUAGAUA
rnacentral:rRNA from 1 species